AGUUGGAUCCUGGCUCAUGACGAACGCUGGCGGCGCGCCUAACACAUGCAAGUCGAACGAGCGAGAGAGAGCUUGCUUUCUCGAGCGAGUGGCGAACGGGUGAGUAACGCGUGAGGAACCUGCCUCAAAGAGGGGGACAACAGUUGGAAACGACUGCUAAUACCGCAUAAGCCCACAGCUCGGCAUCGAGCAGAGGGAAAAGGAGCAAUCCGCUUUGAGAUGGCCUCGCGUCCGAUUAGCUAGUUGGUGAGGUAAUGGCCCACCAAGGCGACGAUCGGUAGCCGGACUGAGAGGUUGAACGGCCACAUUGGGACUGAGACACGGCCCAGACUCCUACGGGAGGCAGCAGUGGGGAAUAUUGCACAAUGGGGGAAACCCUGAUGCAGCGACUCCGCGUGGAGGAAGAAGGUCUUCGGAUUGUAUACUCCUGUUGUUGAUGAACAUAAUGGCGGUACUCAACCAAGGAAGUGACGGCUAACUACGUGCCAGCAGCCGCGGUACAACGUAUAUCACAAGCGUUGUCCGGAAUGACUGGGUGUAAGGGGAGCGCAUGCGGGAACACAAGUUGGAAGUGAAAUCUAUGGGCUCACACCAGUAACUGCUUUCGAAAGCUGACCACUUGAGUAGUGCAGAGGUAGGCGGAAUGCCCGGUGUAGCGGUGGAAUGCGUAGAUAUCGGGAGGAACACCAGUGGCGAAGGCGGCCUACUGGGCACCAACUGACGCUGAGGCUCGAAAGUGUGGGUAGCAAACAGGAUUAGAUACCCUGGUAGUCCACACCGUAAACGAUGAUUACUAGGUGUUGGAGGAUUGACCCCUUCAGUGCCGCAGUUAACACAAUAAGUAAUCCACCUGGGGAGUACGACCGCAAGGUUGAAACUCAAAGGAAUUGACGGGGGCCCGCACAAGCAGUGGAGUAUGUGGUUUAAUUCGACGCAACGCGAAGAACCUUACCAAGUCUUGACAUCCCUUGACGAUGCUGGAAACAGUAUUUCUCUUCGGAGCAAGGAGACAGGUGGUGCAUGGUUGUCGUCAGCUCGUGUCGUGAGAUGUUGGGUUAAGUCCCGCAACGGGCGCAACCCUUACUGUCAGUUACUACGCAAGAGGACUCUGGCAGGACUGCCGUUGACAAAACGGAGGAAGGUGGGGAUGACGUCAAAUCAUCAUGCCCUUUAUGACUUGGGCUACACACGUACUACAAUGGCGUUAAACAAAGAGAAGCAAGACCGCGAGGUGGAGCAAAACUCAGAAACAACGUCCCAGUUCGGACUGCAGGCUGCAACUCGCCUGCACGAAGUCGGAAUUGCUAGUAAUCGUGGAUCAGCAUGCCACGGUGAAUACGUUCCCGGGCCUUGACACACCGCCCGUC
rnacentral:rRNA from 1 species